rnacentral:rRNA from 1 species
CCUACGGGAGGCAGCAGUGGGGAAUAUUGGGCAAUGGAGGAAAGUCUGACCCAGCGACGCCGCGUGCGGGAUGAAGGCCUUCGGGUUGUAAACCGCUUUCAGCAGGGAAGAAGCGAAAGUGACGGUACCUGCAGAAGAAGCACCGGCUAACUAUGUGCCAGCAGCCGCGGUAAUACAUAGGGUGCAAGCGUUGUCCGGAAUUAUUGGCCGUAAAGAGCUCGUAGGUGGUUCGUCACGUCGGAUGUGAAAAUCUGGGGCUUAACCCCAGACCUGCAUUCGAUACGGGCGAGCUUGAGUAUGGUAGGGGAGUCUGGAAUUCCUGGUGUAGCGGUGGAAUGCGCAGAUAUCAGGAGGAACACCAAUGGCGAUAGGCAGGACUCUGGGCCAUUACUGACACUGAGGAGCGAAAGCGUGGGGGAGCGAACAGGAUUAGAUACCCUGGUAGUCCACGCCGUAAACGGUGGGCACUAGUUGUGGGGGACCUUCCACGGUCUCUGCGACGCAGCUAACGCAAUAAGUGCCCCGCCUGGGGA